GGCUUACCAAGGCUACGAUGGGUAGGGGUCCUGAGAGGGAGAUCCCCCACACUGGUACUGAGACACGGACCAGACUCCUACGGGAGGCAGCAGUGAGGAAUAUUGGUCAAUGGGCGCAAGCCUGAACCAGCCAUGCCGCGUGCAGGAUGACGGUCCUAUGGAUUGUAAACUGCUUUUGUACGGGAAGAAACCCUCCUACGUGUAGGAGCUUGACGGUACCGUAAGAAUAAGGAUCGGCUAACUCCGUGCCAGCAGCCGCGGUAAUACGGAGGAUCCAAGCGUUAUCCGGAAUCAUUGGGUUUAAAGGGUCUGUAGGCGGUCUUGUAAGUCAGUGGUGAAAGCCCAUCGCUCAACGGUGGAACGGCCAUUGAUACUGCUGGACUUGAAUUAUUGGGAAGCAACUAGAAUAUGUAGUGUAGCGGUGAAAUGCUUAGAGAUUACAUGGAAUACCAAUUGCGAAGGCAGGUUGCUACCAAUGGAUUGACGCUGAUGGACGAAAGCGUGGGUAGCGAACAGGAUUAGAUACCCUGGUAGUCCACGCCGUAAACGAUGGAUACUAGCUGUUGGGCGCAAGUUCAGUGGCUAAGCGAAAGUGAUAAGUAUCCCACCUGGGGAGUACGAACGCAAGUUUGAAACUCAAAGGAAUUGACGGGGGCCCGCACAAGCGGUGGAGCAUGUGGUUUAAUUCGAUGAUACGCGAGGAACCUUACCAAGGCUUAAAUGCAGACUGACCGGUUUGGAAACAGACCUUU
rnacentral:rRNA from 1 species